rnacentral:rRNA from 1 species
GUGGGGAAUCUUAGACAAUGGGGGCAACCCUGAUCUAGCCAUGCUGCGUGAGUGAUGAAGGCCUUAGGGUCGUAAAGCUCUUUCGCUGGGGAAGAUAAUGACGGUACCCAGUAAAGAAACCCCGGCUAACUCCGUGCCAGCAGCCGCGGUAAUACGGAGGGGGUUAGCGUUGUUCGGAAUUACUGGGCGUAAAGCGCGCGUAGGCGGAUUGGAAAGUUGGGGGUGAAAUCCCGGGGCUCAACCCUGGAAUGGCCUUCAAAACUCCCAGUCUUGAGGUCGAGAGAGGUGAGUGGAAUUCCGAGUGUAGAGGUGAAAUUCGUAGAUAUUCGGAGGAACACCAGUGGCGAAGGCGGCUCACUGGCUCGAUACUGACGCUGAGGUGCGAAAGCGUGGGGAGCAAACAGGAUUAGAAACCCGAGUAGUCC